GCCCCCACCCUGUGCCGAAGCUGGGAGCGCUGGGAGUCAGGCGCACGCGCCCCUCCCGCCCCUCGCGCCCCUCCCUGCGAGCGGUGCAGCUCCCCCUGCAGCGCCUCCCCUCACGGGGAGGGAGCCGGAGGGGGCUCCCGGAGCCGCGCCGCAGACCUGCUCCGGCUGCGCGUCGCGCCUCUCUCCUCCCAGAGUGGCAGUAGUAGCCGCGGCGGAGGCGGUAGGGGGUUUCCGCGACUCGCAGUUUCCCAGGGGAGCGGAGGAGGAGAGCCAGCCUUUCCCCUGCGCCCAGCAACCUCAACCUGUUCCCGGCGCGCGGCGACUCUGACCCCCGGACUCGCCGCCCGACAUGAAUUUCCCCCUGGCGCUGGAGCUCCUGUCCUCGCUCUACCUGCAGACGGCCGCCGAGUUCGACGGGAGGUGGCCCAGGCAAAUAGUGUCAUCUAUUGGCCUAUGUCGUUAUGGUGGGAGAAUUGACUGCUGCUGGGGCUGGGCUCGCCAGUCCUGGGGACAGUGUCAACCUUUCUACGUCUUAAGGCAGAGAAUAGCCAGAAUAAGGUGCCAGCUCAAAGCUGUGUGCCAGCCACAGUGCAAACAUGGUGAGUGUAUUGGGCCUAACAAGUGCAAGUGUCACCCUGGAUAUGCCGGAAAAACCUGCAACCAAGAUGAGCACUUCUACCCAACUCCUCUUGACCAAGGCAGUGAACAGCCUCUUUUCCAACCCUUGGAUCAUGAAGCCACAAGUUUACCUGCAAGGGAUCUAAAUGAGUGUGGCCUGAAGCCUCGGCCCUGUAAGCACAGGUGCAUGAACACUUUCGGCAGCUACAAGUGCUACUGUCUCAAUGGAUAUAUGCUUAUGCCGGAUGGGUCCUGCUCAAGUGCCCUAACAUGCUCUAUGGCAAACUGUCAGUAUGGCUGUGAUGUUGUUAAAGGGCAAGUCCGGUGCCAGUGCCCCUCCCCAGGUCUGCAACUGGCUCCUGAUGGGAGGACCUGUGUGGAUGUCGAUGAAUGUGCUACUGGAAGAGUCUCGUGCCCUAGAUUUAGACAGUGUGUCAACACUUUUGGGAGUUACAUCUGCAAGUGUCAUAAAGGCUUCGACCUCAUGUACAUUGGAGGCAAAUACCAAUGUCACGAUAUAGAUGAAUGCUCCCUUGGUCAGCAUCAGUGCAGUGGCUUUGCUCGAUGUUACAACAUACACGGGUCCUAUAAGUGUAAAUGUAAAGAUGGAUACCAUGGUGAUGGACUCAGUUGUGUCUAUAUCCCCAAAGUCAUGAUUGAGCCUUCAGGACCAAUUCAUGUACCAAAAGGAAAUGGUACCAUUUUAAAGGGUGAUGGAGGAGAUAAUUGGAUUCCUGAUGUCAGAAGUACAAGGUGGCCUCUGAAGACACCAUAUAUUCCUCCUGCCAUUACCAACAGGCCUACUUCUAAGCCAACAACAAGACCUACACCAAAGCCAACACCACAGCCCACUCCUCCACCACCACCACCCCUGGCAACAGAGUUCAGAACACCUCCACCUCCACCAACCCCAGAAAGGCCAUCCACCAGACUGACAACUGCAGAACCAGCUACGAGUACAUCUGCAAGAGGGGUUACAGUUGACAACAGGAUACAGACAGAUCCUCAGAAACCCAGAGGAGAUGUAUUCAUUCCACGGCAGCCUUUCAAUGACUUGUUUGAAAUAUUUGAAAUAGAAAGAGGAGUCAGUGCAGAUGAUGAAGCAAAGGAUGAUCCAGGUGUUCUGGUACACAGUUGUAAUUUUGACCACGGACUUUGUGGAUGGAUCAGGGAAAAAGACAGUGACUUACACUGGGAACCAAUCAAGGACCCAGCAGGUGGACAAUAUCUGACAGUAUCCGCAGCCAAAAGCCUCAGGGGGAAAAGCCGCUCGCUUGGUGCUACCUCUCGGCCACCUCAUGCAUUCAGGGGACCUGUGCCUGUCAUUCAGGCACAAGGUGACUGGGCUGCACUCCGGCAACACUCCAGGUGUUUGUGAGAAACACGGUGCCCACGGAGCAGCCCUGUGGGGAAGAAUGGUGGCCAUGGCUGGAGGCAGACACAGAUCACCUUGCGAGGGGCUGACGUCAGAGCGUCAUCUUCAAAGGUGAAAAAAGGCAUGGUCACACUGGGGAGAUUGGAUUGGAUGAUGUGAGCUUGAGGAAAGGCCACUGCUCUGAACAACGCUAACAGCUCCAGAACUAGCAAUGAACUACUAUGUUGCUUCCCUCGUCUUUUCCAUCCUCACCUUCUCUCCUCCUCUCCUUCUAUCAGGCCUAGGAGAAGAGUGGGUUCAGUGGGUCAGGAGGAAGUCUGGUUCGUGACCCACAUCUUGCUGGCCUGCUUUGUGCAAUCCCAAUGAACAAUGACACCCUCCUUGAAGUACAGGGGCAUCUGUAGACAUAUCCAAGCCAUUUGGGGGUGUUGCCUUCCAUCCUGUGUUUUGUUUGGGAAGGCCUUCAUUGUGUGUGACCUAAACCAUCCUUCAUCAUGUUAUAAAGUGCUUCUUGUAACAAAUCAUAGGAAAAGUUUUCAAAAGAAUCUGUGGAAAUGGCCAUUCUGUUAUCUGUUCGGUGUUGUACAUGAGUAGUAUUGACUUUUUCUUAAGAUACGAUGUACAGUGUGCUUGUGAAAUUGGUCUUUCCUCUUCACUAUGUUAGUUCUGGUCUCACCUGAACUCUGACUUUCACUGCCAUUCACUUUAUGAAAGAAGGGUGUAUAACAUAUCAAGAUGCAUUUAUUCUUGUUACCUAUGUUUUUCUUUUAAAGACAAUUAUGUAGAGUGGACACGGACUCCCUGGUUGGUAGUAUUGUGUUUUGUGUAAAUGUGCUAUUGAUACUAAGUAUUUACAUGUUCCUGAUAUUUACAGACUCUAGUUGCAAGGUAAAAGGCAGCUUGUGAUCUCUUGAGCUAUGUGGCAAAGUGUCAUCCAGUUCCAUGACCAAAUAUGGCAAUAACAGAAACUUGGCAGAGGUGUCAGGUUGUGGUAAUGGAGUGAUGGAUUUUUUUUUUGAUUGCCUUGAGUUUGGUCUCUAGAAGAAUAGUGAAACUACUUAGGGAGAUAAGAAACUGCAGUUAAGAUAUGAAACCGUCACUGUUUCACGUAUACUUUUAAAACCAAUGGCUUUACCAUCUUAACUUGGCUCUCUCUAAUAAUCUGUAAAAGGUUUGUAAAAGUUCUGGUUGCUCUAGAGGAAAGAUCCUGCUAAUGGAGGCAAGGUAAGAGGAAGCAUAGGGGAAGAUCCCUUGGAACAGAUCGUCCUGCCAAAACCUCCAUGUAGAGCUACACAUGCAGUCAGGUUAAGAUGGAAGCAAGUCCUAUGCACUGAGGUGUUGGAUGUGUUGGAAUGGGAUUCACACACCAGCAGGAGGAGGAAGGAUUGGAAUUUUACAUCCACAGACCCCAGCUAUAUUUCUUCCCUGCAGAUUUUACCUUUAUAUAAAAAAAAUAUAACUUUUGAAGGGCAUCUUACUCCUGAGAAUUUUCUUCAUUUCUAAUUAAGUAAUCAAAAUAUUUUCUACUGUUUUUGCCAGGAAUCACAAAGAUGAUUAAAGGGUUGGACAAAAAGCUCUAUGAUGAAAAAUUAAAGGAACUGGGAUAUUCAGCCUGGAGAAAAGAAGACUGAGGGGCAAACCAUUGAUGGUUUUCAAGUAUAUGAAGGGUUGGCACCAAGAGGAUAGUGACCAGCUGUUCUCCAUAUGCACUAAGAAUAGAACCAGAGGAAAUGGGCUUAGACUAGAGUCGUGAGGGAGCAUUUCCUGGCAGGACAGUUGUUAAAUCAGAAUCCUUCAUAAAAAAGUGUGAAAACUUCUCUCUUUUUUUCUCUCUCUCUCUUUAAAAAGCUAAAUAAAAAUUUACCUAUUUGAGAUAUGCUUUUACGUCAAGGUAAAGUGACAGAUUACAGAAUCUCCCAGAUUACUUGGUCCUAUUACUAGUUAUAAUGAACAAUUUCAAGCCUAAAUAAUUUGGACGAGGCUCUAAUUAGGAAUUUCCUCUUGACCUCCUAACAGGGAGGGAACAAAUGUGGAAAGAUGCCGAAGUUCAUUAAAGGGUUGUCUCCCUUUAUGGCCAACCUUGUAGUAUUGAACAAAAUGAAAAAAAAAUCCCAAUUUUUAAAAAAUCCACAAAAGUUUUUCAAAGAGGUUGUGAUGGACAGAUAUUUUAAUAUCUCAGUAAUGUCUUAAUGUGGUAGUGUUCAGGGUCCCCCCCAACCCUUGGUAAAAGUAUAACCUUCCACUUGCUCAAUAGGUGAUAUAUUUCAGAUUGUUGUUUUAAAAGAGAAACCCUAUCAAGAAACACAGGUAGAGACGUCUUUACCUGGGUGCAUUUGCUUUGUGUGUAGCAGCUUAACUUGGCUACUUAAAGAGGGUCAUGCACAGCACCUCUAGAUCUUUCUUUCAUCUGCUCACUGUGAUUCCCUUUCUCUUACCAAUUGGAAUCUCCCAAGUUCUAUAAGCCAGUAAGUUUUUUUGAACAGUAGGUCCAAGAGAAGUUCUUUUAUCAUGUAACUUGUAGAGGCAGGGGGAGGGGGAAUAUAAAUCAUUGAGCCUUUGAUUAAGGGCCAGAAUAUGGUCUUAGAUCCAUUUUUAUGAUUCAUUCCUUUUUGUUCAUAUAACUGCACAGUUGAAGAUGAAAGGGGAAAAUAAUUGAAAAUUUCACUUGUAGGUGCCAAUAAUAUAUUGCACUAAAACGAUGGAAGAAGUUAUCCAAAGUACUGUAUAACAUCUUGCUAUUAUUUAAUGUUUUCUAAGUGAAAAGUUAGUGGUUUCCAAACAGUCAAGUAAUACAAUUCUUUGUAAAUAAAAACACGUAAUACCAG